rnacentral:misc_RNA from 1 species
AAAGAAGUCUUAAACAACUUCGACCCUUUUUGUGAACUGUUUCGAAACCCCUCUAACGGGGGGGACGGACGAGGCUCUUCUGGGCCACUUCCGCUCUCCUCCUUCCUUCCUACCCACAUACAAACUCUAUGUACUUAGUCUUAAUGAUGUAAUCUGUGAUUGUGAGGUACACACUCGUGUAUCCCCCAGUCAUUCCAAUAUAUUCUAAGCUGAUAAAGCA